rnacentral:rRNA from 1 species
UGGGCUUGACAUGUUCCUGACCUCCCUGGAAACAGGGCUUCCCUUCGGGGCAGGAUCAC